rnacentral:rRNA from 1 species
CACGUAGGGCGCAAGCGUUGUCCGGAAUUAUUGGGCGUAAAGAGCUCGUAGGCGGUCUGUUACGUCUGCUGUGAAAACCCGGGGCUUAACCCUGGGCUUGCAGUGGAUACGGGCAGACUAGAGGCAGGUAGGGGAGAAUGGAAUUCCCGGUGUAGCGGUGAAAUGCGCAGAUAUCAGGAAGAACACCCGUGGCGAAGGCGGCUCUCUGGGACGAUACUGACGCUGAGACGCGAAAGCGUGGGGAGCGAACAGG